ACCUUCCUUCAUGUGACUAGAGAGAGGCCCUUUCCUCCGUCCCACGCUGGAGAACAGGACCUCCUCCUCCUUCUAAAAUCACAAAUCCCAUCCUGCAAAGCCUUCGGAUCUCUCUGUCCAUUGGUUGGUAUUUUUUCCCCCUGGCCACUUGGCACGAUUUUAUUUCAUGACAGGUUAAGAGGUGUGUGGCAGAGGAGUCACAAUGGUUUGGGUUCUGUAAUUUAACUGGUCAAGUUUAUUGCAGUGGAGAGAACAGGUCAUAAUUCAUUUGCAAACACACACAGGGACGAACUUGAGAAAUACUAUUUCUGCACUUCUUGUUGCCUGGCCAUGCUUUCUCCUGAGGCCUGCAAUGAAAAGAAAAUGUUUAUUAUUCACUUUUUGCCGAAGAGCAAACCACCCCCAGUCCUCAGGAUUUUAAGCACAAGGCUUGGGAAAGAACGCUACCCUCAAAUAAUGGAGAAUUCUAAAUUGGGAAAGACUGCGGAGGGAAUAAAACUUCAGUGAAGGAAUGGCAACAGGGAAGGCUGAUGGGAACAUGGCAGGCGGUGUUUUAGAAUAAUAAUAAUAAUAAUAAUAAUAAUAAUAAUAAUAAUAAUAAUUUAUUAUUUAAACCCUGCCCAUCUGGCUGAGUUUCCCCAGCCACUCUGGGCGGCUCCCAAUCAAGUGUUAAAAACAAUACAGCAUUAAAUAUUAAAAACUUCCCUAAACAGGGCUGCCUUGAGAUGUCUUUUAAAGAUAGGAUAGCUGCUUGUUUCCUUCACAUCUGAAGGGAGGGGGUUCCACAGGGCGGGCGCCACUACCGAGAAGGCCCUCUGUCUUGUUCCCUGUAACUUGGCUUCUUGCAGUGAGGGAAUUGCCAGAAGGCCUUUGGCGCUGGACCUCAGUGUCCGGGCUGAACGAUUGGGGUGGAGACGCUCCUUCAGGUAUACUGAGCCGAGGCCGUUUAGGGCUUUAAAGGUCAGCACCAACACUUUGAAUUGUGCUCGGAAACAUACUGGGAGCCAAUGUAGGUCUUUCAAGACCGGUGUUAUGUGGUCUCAGGGGCCACUCCCAGUCACCAGUCUAGCUGCUGCAUUCUGGAUUAGUUGUUGUUUCUGGGUCACUUUCAAAGGUAGCCCUACACAGAGCGCAUUGCAGUAGUCCAAGUGAGAGUUAACCAGAGUAUGCACCACCCUGGCGAGACAGUCUGUGGGCAGGGAGUGUCUCAUCCUGCGUACCAGAUGGAGCUGGUAGACAGCUGCCCUGGAUACAGAAUUAACCUGCGCCACCAUGGACAGCUGUGAGUCCAAAAUGACUCCCAGGCUGCACACCUGGUCCUUCAGAGGCACAGUGACCCCAUACCCGCCCUCCUCCUGUCUCCCAAAAGCAGUACUUCUGUCUUGUCAGGAUUCAACCUCAAUCUGUUAGCCGCCAUCCAUCCUCCAACCACCUCCAGACACUCACACAGGACCUUCACUGUUUCUGAUUUAAAAGAGAGGUAGAGAGAAGGCAUAAAUGAGAGAAAGAAGCAGGUUUGCCAACUUUUUUAAAAAAACUCCACUCUGCUCUUUUUGCAUACAAAUCUGUCCUCACCACCAGCAGUUGGCAACCCUGCAAAAUGGGCUUAAAGAGGCAACAAUCUUCUUGAUGUGACGUCUGAAGCAUGUGUGUGUGUCUGUGUAGGUGGGUAACAGAUCAGAAAUUUUGAGCGGAAUUUGUUCCUUAAGAUGGGGACUGGAUGGAACCUCUUCUGAUAAACCGGCCUAGGAUUGGCCCUCAUCUCUCGCCGUCUUCACCUUUUCCAGGACACCUUGACUCAGCAGCCGAAACAUCGCCUUCCCCUCUCCUUCCCCUCCCAUCUUGCCUGCAAAAUUUUGGGAAAUAAAGAAAGAGCAACCCUCUCCCUCCGCCCUCGAUAAUUAAGUGAAUUUCACCUCCCCCUUUUGCACCAUACGGUGGUUGUUCUCCCUCACAACAACCUUGCGAGGUAGACUCUGCC